CUUCCCCCCCAACGCCUGGUCUCUCCCAGAUCUAGGUUUAUUUAGUCCUUCCUUCCCCCCAACGCCUGGUCUCUCCCAGAACUAGGUUUAUUUAGUCCUUCCUUCCCCCCCAACGCCUGGUCUCUCCCAGAUCUAGGUUUAUUUAGUCCUUCCUUCCCCCCAACGCCUGGUCUCUCCCAGAACUAGGUUUAUUUAGUCCUUCCUUCCCCCCAACGCCUGCUAAAUUGCAGUAAUUCAAAAUACUUUUUCUGUGAAAAGAUGAUUUAAGCCCAAUUCAUACUACACCAUGUUUAUGUUUGAUCUGAAAGACUGUUUGAAAGAUGAUGUGUUGCUUUAGUUGACACACAAGACAGAUUAAACACAUUUCUGUAGUAAAACGUGUCAUUCAGUAAAUAUUUAGAUUUAAGUGUGGUAUGGAGCUUUGAAAUGGUGACUUUAUUUGUUAUCUGUUGGGAAAUUCUUUAUGUAAUACUGCAUCCCAGUAAAAACCUACAGAUAGGUACGUAGACUACAUCUAUUUGGUUUGAAAAUCAUUUCAACCCCAGUGACAGAUGCUGUUGCUCACCACUUUACAAGGCCCUGUAAUCACUUGAGUGAUUACAGCUUGACUGAUUAAGGUUUAGAGCAUUUGUCCAACUUGUUCUACACCAACCCAGAGUACAGAUGUCAGAUUGUAAUUUGAUCACCCUGCAAUGCAGGACAUUUUAAAAUGUGUCGUGUAUUUGAGGUUUAAAAAGGCUUCUGAAGUUUUUAAUUUCCACGUUGAAAUUUCAGACUUGAUUUUCCCUUACGGAAAAUGUAUCGGCCCCUACAAAAAUGUCCAUGAAUUAUAAUCCACAAAAUCAUUCAAAUUUCCUGUUGCUACAGGUUUCUUUUCCUGCUGUAGCAAACUGGCUCAAAUUAAGAUCCUACAUCUGUAAUGUGUGGUGUAGUACUGUGGCCCACAUUGUAACAGUACAGAAGAACAUCGGCUUGCUAUUUGUCAGACCCGGGGAGGACGCUAGAUUCUACAAGCCCUUUGAUCCUGUCUCCAUGGUGCCCCCAGAUGUUCUGCUUGUCGGGGGAUUGUGAUGUGGAAGCCUGUUUAUUUACAGAGGUAAUGUCCAGUCAUUAUAUGCACAACUCAUCCAUCAAACAUAGAGGAACGAUCAGGGAGAUUUCUUUCUUUGCGCUUGAUGAUUUUUUUUAUUUUUUUUAUUUUUUUAUUUAUUUAUUUUUUUUUUACCUUUAUUUAACCAGGCAAGUCAGUUAAGAACAAAUUCUUAUUUUCAAUGACGGCCUGGGAACAGUGGGUUAACUGCCUGUUCAGGGGCAGAACGACAGAUUUGUACCAUGUCAGCUCGGGGGUUUGAACUCGCAACCUUCCGGUUACUAGUCCAACGCUCUAACCACUAGGCUACCCUGCCGCCCCGGCUACCCACAUGUCUGCGUCCACAAUGGCACCCUAUUCCAUAUGUAGUGCACUACCUUUGUCCUGGGUCCAUGCACUAUACAUGGAAUAAGGUACCAUUGUCAGAAGCACGUGUUUCAUUCAGUGGGGCUUGGGACCCAGGGAUCUCAGUUUACCUACGGGGUGAAGAUAUAUUUCCGCUGUAAAUUAGUAUAGUAGUCUCCUGCAAUUCAAAGUCUUUUACCAGCUAUUUAUGAUAAGCACAGUUGUUGUAUCCUAAUGUUAUUAGGCAUUCUGUACUGUAGGUAGUUAUUUCCUUCAAUUUCAAAAUUCCCAAAUAAUAAUUUUUCUCCUGUUGUUCUGCCUUGUCACCAACAGGUGGCAGUAUGAUACCUGAAUCUGGUCAGUAUUGCAGCUCAACUCCAUGAGUCCUACAGUCUUAGAAGAAGCAGUCUCUUUGAUUUGGUGAUUGCCAGGUAUAUACCACAGCAAAGUACAAACUCACCAUCAGAAUACCUAAAUGGGUAAAAAUGAAGAUCAGAAUAAAAUGUGAGGAUAUAUUUUCAUUCACACAUGCGCAAUCUCUUUAUGUGUCCUGUCUUUAUUUAGUGUAGUAAUUUACAUUCAGAACAUCAAUCCAUGUUUGAAUGUUUAUUUGUAGGUCUUGGGAGAAGGCUGGAAUGGGUAUUAUGUUCUGCUAGUUUUAUAGCACUAUACAAAUUAAUUUAUUAUCAAUUUAUUCUCAAUAUAAGGCUUGGGUACUACAUAUGUAGACAGUAUGUCACACUGAGGUGCUGCAAUGAUGUCCAAAGUUGAUUUACUGUACACUUGUAUUUUUCUGAUAUUGGUCAACUGUCUUCAGAAAUUAGUAUUCUUUUCUGGGACUCCAAUUGUCAGUUGUGUGCUGCAUUUCAACAACCAUUUGAAUGUUUGUAUUUUUGUUAAUGUAAUAUGAAAUCACAGGAGAGAGAGUAUUUGAGACCAGGGAUUUUUGUUUGCCAAGGUAAUUUUCAGGAAAAAAAUAUUGCUCUCUCAAUCAAUCGCUUCUUUAUCAAGUUGAAAUAUACUAU
rnacentral:lncRNA from 1 species